GACGCACGCUGGCGGCGUGCCUAAUACAUGCAAGUAUGACGCAGUUGCGAACGUGUGAGUAACGUGUAGGUAACUGCCUAUUAGAGGGGGAUAACUAUUGGAAACGCUAGCUAAUACCGCAUACACGUCGCUGUACCUGUGUUGUAUUAGCUAGGAGGUAGAGUAAUGGACUAACUGUGCAACGAUACAUAGCCGACCUGAGCAGGAGAUCGGCCACACUGAGACUCAUAGACGGCCCAGACUCCGACGAGAGGAAGCAGUAGGGAAUCUUCGGCAAUGGGGUGAACCCUGACCGAGCAACGCCGCGUGAGUGAAGAAGGUUUUCGGAACGUAAAGCUCGGUUGUUAAGGAAGCGGUACUUAACCGGAAAUGGACAGCUAACUACGUGCCAGCAGCCGCGGUAAUUC
rnacentral:rRNA from 1 species